UACGGGGGGGGCAAGCGUUAAUCGGAAUUACUGGGCGUAAAGCGUGCGCAGGCGGUUUUGUAAGCCAGAUGUGAAAUCCCCGGGCUUAACCUGGGAAUGGCAUUUGGGACUGCAAGGCUGGAGUGCGGCAGAGGAGACUGGAAUUCCUGGUGUAGCAGUGAAAUGCGUAGAUAUCAGGAGGAAUACCGAUGGCGAAGGCAGGUCUCUGGGCUGACACUGACGCUCAUGCACGAAAGCGUGGGGAGCAAACAGG
rnacentral:rRNA from 1 species